AUUGAACGCUGGCGGCAUGCUUUACACAUGCAAGUCGAACGGCAGCGCGGGCUUCGGCCUGGCGGCGAGUGGCGAACGGGUGAGUAAUGCAUCGGAACGUGCCCAGUAGUGGGGGAUAGCCCGGCGAAAGCCGGAUUAAUACCGCAUACGACCUGAGGGUGAAAGCGGGGGACCGAAAGGCCUCGCGCUAUUGGAGCGGCCGAUGUCGGAUUAGCUAGUUGGUGGGGUAAAGGCUUACCAAGGCGACGAUCCGUAGCUGGUCUGAGAGGACGACCAGCCAAAGGGGGACAGAGAAACGGCCCAGACCCCUAGGGGAGGCAGAGGGGGGGAAUUUGGGAAAAGGGGGGCAACCCUGACCCAGCCAUGCCGGGGGGGGGAAGAAGGCCUGCGGGGUGUAAACCGGUUUUGUUGGGGAAGAAAUCCUCUGGGCUAAAACCCCGGGGGGAUGAGGGGACCGGAAGAAGAAGCACCGGAUAACUAGGG
rnacentral:rRNA from 1 species